rnacentral:lncRNA from 1 species
UCCUCUCCUCCUCCUCUCCCCUUCCUCUCCCCUUCCUCUCCUCCUCCUCUCCCCUUCCUCUCCCCCUCCUCUCCCCUUCCUCUCCCCUUCCUCUCCUCCUCCUCUCCCCUUCCUCUCCCCUUCCUCUCCUCCUCCUCUCCCCUUCCUCUCCCCUUCCUCUCCCCUUCCUCUCCCCUUCCUCUCCCCUUCCUCUCCCCCUCCUCUCCUCCUCCAAUGCUGUUGUAAAGGAUCUCCAUUCUCAGGUUGUUAACAGGUCUAUAUUUGGGUUGGAUUGUUUAUAGUGGUGUCUGUAUUAACAUCAUAUAGCUUUGUCCAACUCCAGUAGGAUUAUAAUCUAUGAAUCUCCUUCUCAUUAAAUAUAACCUCUGGUUUAAACUCUCAUUCCUUACUCUGUCCGCCUGUCAAUCCCUCUCCCUGCAUCAAAGCUUUAGUGACUUAGUUAACUCUGGUUCAGCUGCCUGAGUUGCUCUGGUUUAGCUGCCUGAGUUGCUCUGGUUCAGCUGCCUGAGUUGCUCUGGUUCAGCUGCCUGAGUUGCUCUGGUUUAGCUGCCUGAGUUGCUCUGGUUCAGCUGCCUGAGUUGCUCUGGUUCAGCUGCCUGAGUUGCUCUGGUUCAGCUGCCUGAGUUGCUCUGGUUCAGCUGCCUGAGUUGCUCUGGUUCAGCUGCCUGAGUUGCUCUGGUUCAGCUGCCUGAGUUGCUCUGGUUUAGCUGCCUGAGUUGCUCUGGUUCAGCUGCCUGAGUUGCUCUGGUUCAGCUGCCUGAGUUGCUCUGGUUUAGCUGCCUGAGUUGCUCUGGUUCAGCUGCCUGAGUUGCUCUGGUUUAGCUGCCUGAGUUGCUCUGGUUUAGCUGCCUGAGUUACCUGGCUGUUGGAUGGAAUUUGUAUGAAUGUUCUGUGAUGGUUGUAUGGAUGUUCUGUGAUGGUUGUGUGGAUGUUCUGUGAUGGUUGUGUGGAUGUUCUGUGAUGGUUGUAUGAUGUUCUGUGAUGGUUGUAUGGAUGUUCUGUGAUGGUUGUAUGGAUGUUCUGUGGUGGUUGUACGGAUGUUCUGUGAUGGUUGUAUGGAUGUUCUGUGAUGGUUGUGUGAAUGUUCUGUGAUGGUUGUAUGAAUGUUCUGUGAUGGUUGUAUGGAUGUUCUGUGAUGGUUGUAUGAAUGUUCUGUGAUCGUUGUAUGGAUGUUCUGUGAUGGUUGUAUGGAUGUUCUGUGAUGGUUGUAUGGAUGUUCUGUGAUGGUUGUGUGAAUGUUCUGUGAUGGUUGUAUGGAUGUUCUGUGAUGGUUGUAUGGAUGUUCUGUGGUGGUUGUAUGGAUGUUCUGUGAUGGUUGUAUGGAUGUUCUGUGAUGGUUGUGUGAAUGUUCUGUGAUGGUUGUAUGGAUGUUCUGUGAUGGUUGUAUGGAUGUUCUGUGAUGGUUGUAUGGAUGUUCUGUGGUGGUUGUAUGGAUGUUAUAUUGUGGUUGUAUGGAUGUUCUGUGGUGGUUGUAUGAAUGUUCUGUGAUGGUUGUAUGGAUGUUCUGUGGUGGUUGUAUGAAUGUUCUGUGAUGGUUGUAUGGAUGUUCUGUGAUGGUUGUAUGAAUGUUCUGUGGUGGUUGUAUGGAUGUUCUGUGAUGGUUGUAUGAAUGUUCUGUGAUGGUUGUGUGAAUGUUCUGUGAUGGUUGUAUGGAUGUUCUGUGAUGGUUGUAUGAAUGUUCUGUGGUGGUUGUAUGGAUGUUCUGUGAUGGUUGUAUGGAUGUUCUGUGAUGGUUGUAUGGAUGUUCUGUGAUGGUUGUAUGGAUGUUCUGUGAUGGUUGUAUGAAUGUUCUGUGAUGGUUGUGUGAAUGUUCUGUGAUGGUUGUAUGAUGUUCUGUGAUGGUUGUAUGAAUGUUCUGUGAUGGUUGUAUGAAUGCUCUGUGAUGGUUGUAUGAAUGUUCUGUGAUGGUUGUAUGGAUGUUAUGAGAUGGUUGUGUGGAUGUUAGAUGUUGUAUGAAUGUUCUGUGAUGGUUGUAUGAUGUUCUGUGAUGGUUGUAUGGAUGUUCUGUGAUGGUUGUAUGAAUGCUCUGUGAUGGUUGUAUGAAUGUUCUGUGAUGGUUGUAUGGAUGUUAUGAGAUGGUUGUGUGGAUGUUAGAUGUUGUAUGAAUGUUCUGUGAUGGUUGUGUGAAUGUUCUGUGAUGGUUGUGUGAAUGUUCUGUGAUGGUUGUGUGAAUGUUCUGUGAUGGUUGUAUGAAUGUUCUGUGAUGGUUGUGUGGAUGUUCUGUGAUGUUGUAUGAAUGUUAGGAGAUGGUUGUGUGGAUGUUCUGUGAUGGUUGUGUGGAUGUUAGGAGAUGGUUGUAUGAAUGUUAGGAGAUGGUUGUGUGGAUGUUCAGUGAUGGUUGUGUGAAUGUUCUGUGAUGGUUGUGUGAAUGUUCUGUGAUGGUUGUGUGAAUGUUCUGUGAUGGUUGUGUGAAUGUUCUGUGAUAGUUGUAUGAAUGUUCUGUGAUGGUUGUGUGGCUGUUCUGAGAUGGUUGUGUGGAUGUUAGGAGAUGGUUGUGUGGAUGUUCCUCCCAAUACAUUGAGGUUGACAGGUCUUCUCAGUGUUCUCUGACCCUGAGGUAGGACUAGGGGUCAGGGUGAGGUAGGGCUAGGGGUCAGGGUGAGGUAGGGCUAGUGGUCAGGGUGAGGUAGGGUUAGUGAGGUAGGGCUAGGGGACAGGGUUAGUGAGGUAGGGCUAGGGGUCAGGGUGAGGUAGGACUAGGGGUCAGGGUGAGGUAGGGUUAG